CUUGGUGGUUUUAGCACUGGGGGUACACCUCUUCCCAUUCCGAACAGAGUAGUUAAGCCCAUUAGCGCCGAUGGUACUGCAGUGGUAACGCUGUGGCAGAGUAGGUCGCCGCCAAGU
rnacentral:rRNA from 1 species